GGUUCUAUUGUAUGGUGGUUUGCACUGUGGAGUUUGAAUCCAGUAACCUGGGUUCAACUCAUAGUAGGACCU
rnacentral:tRNA from 1 species